UUUCUUUCUCUGUUUUCAUUCUACCCAAAUCUAGUAAUUUUUACAUAAAGUAAAGCCAUCACAUGUAGGACCAAGUAGGACCUGUCCACAGUAUCUAAGAGUGCAGAAAAGAGCAGAAUCUGAUUCAAAUACAAAAACCCAAAUUCAGAAAGAGAGGAGGGAAAUUUGAAGAAAUGAAAGAAAAGGUCAAAUCCAAUGAAGAAAUGUCAGGGACUGAAAGAAACUGAGGAGAAUCUUCCCCCUCCCCCCAAAUGUAAUUCUAGUCCAAAUAGAGUCUUUGAGAAGGAAUGUCCUGGCCACAACAACUAGAAGAGAACUUAGAUAAAUAGAACAAAAGAUAUAAAAUGGAAUUCUAUUUUGUUUUGUUUCAAAUAAGCUUUAUGGAUAUCUUCUAUUUCUUAUAUCAUUUUAGUAUCCCAUGUAGCCUUCUCUUUUCCCUUCCAGAAAUCCAUCCCAUAUGACAAAUAAUAUUGUUUGAAGAAAUAAAAGAGAAAAAAAAUCAACACAAUUGAUUGAUACAUUGAAAAAGUCUGUAAACAUAUACAGUAUGUAAUAUCUGUGGACCUCUUAUCUCCAUGAGCAGGUGCCACAAAAAGCACUGCUAAAAAUGUUUUGGAGUGUAUGAAGACUUUUUUCUCAAAUGACUUCUUUGGGGUGAAAGCUUAGAAUGGAAACUUUGGUUUAAAGGAUUUGGCUAUUUUAUUUGCAUAAUUCUAAAUUGUAUUCCCUAAUAGUUGUAUCAUUUCAAUGUCUUAGGUCCCUAUUCUUUUACAGACUUUUCAACAUUGAGUGUUACUAUUUUUUGUCAUCUUUGCCAAAUUGCAAGGGCUGCUUUUCACCUUUGGUGUCCACCUGAUUCACCCAACUCUCACCUAUGGCACACUCAUACAAGGCAAGUGCUCACAUCAAAGUCAGAAGAAGAGAUAUAAGGAUACUUUUAAAGUCUCUCUGAAGAACUUUGGAGUUGAUUGUGUGACAUGGGAGGCACUGACCAAGGACCAUCCAGCACAACAUAACCACAUCAAGGAAAAUAUAUGAACAAAGCAGA